rnacentral:rRNA from 1 species
GACGAACGCUGGCGGCGUGCCUAAUACAUGCAAGUCGAGCGGACAGAUAAGGAGCUUGCUCCUUUGAAGUCAGCGGCGGACGGGUGAGUAACACGUGGGCAACCUGCCUAUAAGACUGGGAUAACUCCGGGAAACCGGGGCUAAUACCGGAUAGAUUCUUUCCUCUCAUGAGGAAAGAAGGAAAGAUGGUUUCGGCUAUCACUUAUAGAUGGGCCCGCGGCGCAUUAGCUAGUUGGUAAGGUAACGGCUUACCAAGGCGACGAUGCGUAGCCGACCUGAGAGGGUGAUCGGCCACACUGGGACUGAGACACGGCCCAGACUCCUACGGGAGGCAGCAGUAGGGAAUCUUCCGCAAUGGACGAAAGUCUGACGGAGCAACGCCGCGUGAACGAAGAAGGCCUCCGGGUCGUAAAGUUCUGUUGUUAGGGAAGAACAAGUACGAUAGUAACUGAUCGUACCUUGACGGUACCUAACCAGAAAGCCACGGCUAACUACGUGCCAGCCGCCGCAGUAACAC